rnacentral:lncRNA from 1 species
CCUUUGUCUCCUCUGGACUCCGGGUUCCUGCCGGGUGGUGUAGGGCUGGUUUCCCCAACAUCUGGUGCCGAAUGCAGGGCUCCCCGUAAUCUCUACAAAUAAUCUGGUGAAGGAACGCCAGAGCGUGGAAAGUGGAGGAGGACUGAGGAAGGAAGCCUGAGUACGUUUUCACUUCAAGCUCUACGGGAGGAUUGAGUACUCCAGGGGGAGUGAAUGUGAUGGGUUAUGCCUAAGGCUGAAUGAAAGCUGCUGGGUUGCUUUAGCUGUGAAAGUGGUCCAUUAUCACUCUUCAGACUUUCAGGCCAUAACCACAGAUAAAAUUGUGACAUAUGUGGACCAUAUACCUAAGCAAAGGUGCCUUGGCCUGCCUACCAUGGACAAUUUUACAUGUCAUUGGGACCAGCACCAAGGGUCCUGCCCAAAGGAAAGAUUGUGACAUCUCACUGGACCAGGACCCACCUAGAUGUUGUGACCUUUCUGCUUGCUCUCUGCCCACAGAUGAUAUUGUUCCAUAUACCUAAGACCACUUAAGAGGACUAAUCAUGACUGUUAAAUCUGGAUCCAGUUCAUAUUCAACAUGGAGACUCCCAUUCCUCAAACUUUCCACCAAUGUUAUUAUGACAUAUACCGUUGCCCAGCUCUUGAGUGAUUUAAUACUGCUGCCUAGUUGUAGUCCUCAAAUGAAAUUUGGACAUAUACUUCAACUAAUCACCUUGAUGAUUUGACUCUCCUGCCUUAACAAUAUCUUCCAGAAGGAUUGUAACAGAUUUCUGGACACAUCAUCUAAUUAUCUGACACUCCUCUCUAACCUGGACCCUGCUUCCACUAGGGAUUGUAGCAUUUCUAAGCACUACAUCCAAAUUAUAUGACUCUCUUGCCUGGUCUUUUUAAGGGGAGUCUUUGUAACAUAUUUCUGGGCCUGUCAUUUAGGUGAUAUGGGUCUCCUCUUCUGCCUGGACACCACACACAGGGAUAUUGUGUUAUACAUCUUGAUGUAACCCCCAAGUUAUGCAACAUUUCUGCCCAGGACAUGAGUACAAGGAGAAUAUCGGAAAAUUUCUGACUCACUAUUUAGGUGACUUGGCUGUCAUUCCUGUUUCAUUACCACAAACUAAAUUGUGACAUAUACCCAAACACAGCUCAUGGGCAUGAUAAUGAUUCUCCUAUGUGGAUCCCACAAAUAGAAGUAAUUUUGACUCUCCUAACUUACUUUAGAGACAUGAGUGGUUAAAUCUCUAUCUGGUACAAAAAAAAAAUCAAAGAAGAUUACAACAGCUACAUAUUUUAUAAAGCCUUUAGCUUGUACAGAAAGCAUCACUACAGAACCCAGCAGAAGGUGAAACUGUGAGUCUCAAAUGCACACCCAGCUGACAGUAAAGACUAUCACCAUCUCACCUAUAUGAAGCUAACAGUCACUCAAGAAAACAGACCAUGUGUGAUAUUGUAAAUCUCAUCAUGGGAAUUUUCUGCUAGUGUUAUUGUGAUAUAAAUUUUGCUGAGCACCUGUGUGAUUUAAUUCUUCAUAAUGGUUCUGGCUCACAUAUUUUAUUAUACUGUCUACCUGUGCCUACUUCUACAUGAUGGGACUCUCCUGCCUGGGCCCUGCUCUCAGUAAGAAUCAUGACAUAUUAUUAGAUCUAGCACCUAGGUUAUGUUACAUUUUUGCCUUAGCCAUGCCCACAGAAAUUAUUGUGAUAUAUCACUGUGUCAACCACUUAGAUAAUGUAACUCUGCUCUUUAUAAUGGGCCCUACACAUAUUUGGGGAUAAUUACAUAUGGUUGAGCCAGGCACACAGGUGACAAUACUCUUUUGUUAGAGCCAUGUCCUAAAAAAAGCACUGUGACAAAUCUCUGGGCCAAUCUCUUAGGUAAUGUUGCUCUCCUGCUGGGGUCCUGCUUUCCUGAAUAGUGACAUAUUGCUACACCAGGCAUUGAAGUGAUGGUACUCUUUUGCCAGAGUCAUGUCUCAAGGAGAACAUUGUGACACAUCCUUGUGAGUAUCACCUAGGAAAUGUAACUCCCUGCUUCAGUGUGGCCCACAAAGGGCAUUGUGAUAUAAAGGUAGAAUCUAAACCAUUUGUUGUAACUCUCUUGUUUGACACUUGUCCUAAGGGAACCUUGUGACAUAUCUCAGGAACCAGGAUCAAGGUAAUGUGACCCUUCUGCCUGGCUUCACCUCACAUGUUAGAUUUUUUUCAUACAUCUAGCUAAACACCUAUGUAAUAUGACUCUUCUCUUCUGUCUGAGGCUUGCUUAUUUCAGACAUUGGGCCAUAUUUCUGAGCCAGUUUCCUAAGUGAUGUAAUUCUUUUCAUCUGCCUGAGCCUUUACAAUGGAGUGAUGUGACAUAUUGCUAAACCCAAUACUUAGUUUAUAUGACUCUUCUUUUUUUCCCAAAACAUACACAUGAAAAGGAAUUUUGACAUAUUGCAGGGCCCAGCACCCAAAUGAUGUUCCUCUUCUGCCUGGAUCCUGCAUAAAGAGAGAAUUAUGGCAUAUUGCUGUGUCCCCCACCCUGAUGCUGUAACUGUCUUGCUUGUGCCCAAGCAACAGAAAGUAUUUUUACAUAUCUUGGGCACAUGAGUUUACAGGCAUGAUGAUUAUAUCUAUAUUGGGAUUCUGCCAAUAGGAGAUAUUUUUCUCUCAUCGUUAACCUUAAAACAAUAGGUCCAGGCCACAGAUGAAAUUGUGCCAUACCUGGAACAAGCACUAAACCAAGUAUAACACCUUCCUUGGCUAUGCCUACAAAAUGGCACUUUUAUAUAUCCCUGGGACCAUCAUCCCGAUGAGGUGAAUUAUCCCCCUGAAACCUGCCUACAAAGAGAAUUGGGUCUUAUAUCUAGAUCCAUCAUCUGACUCUUUUCGUUUUCCUGCAGAGAUAUUGCUGGAGCAUGACAUAUAAGAUUCAUUUCAAAAAGUGAAUCUGAGAAAAUAUAGAAGCUGUGACCUUAAUAGUUUACAUUAAAAAAAAAAAGACUACCAAAGUGUGGAUAAUUGCAAGGGGCAGAAGAGCAGUUAUAAUGGCCUUCAUCAAUGUUUGUCAACUACCCAUAGCAAAACCUGUCAAUGAAAUAAAUGUGGCAAAGCUUUUGAGUUGUGCUCAGUCUUUACUGAACAUAAGAAAAUUUUCAGCAUAGAGAAAUGCUACAAAUGUGAAGAAUGUGGCAAAGACUGUAGGUUGUUCUCAGAUAUUACUAUACAGAAGUGAAUUCAUACUGCAGAGAGAUGCUACAGACAUCAACAAUGUGGCAAAGCCUGAAAAUAUCUCAAAUGUUACUGAAUAUAAGAGAGCUCAUGCUGGGAUAUCUAACAAAUGCAAUGAAUGUGGCAAAACAUUUACCUGCUCCUCAACCUUUAUUAAACAAAGAGAAAUCAUACUGGAGACAAACCCUACAUAUGCGAAGAAUGUGGCAAAGCCUUUAAGUGCUUCUCUGACCUUACUAAUCAAAAGAGAAAUUAUACUGGAGGGAAAUCUUGCAAAUGUGAGGAAUGUAGCCUAUAGGUUGUUCUCAGAACUUGCUAAAUAUAAGAUAAUUCACACCGGGGAGAAACUCUACAAACGUGAAGAAUGUGAUGAAGACUAUAGUUGCUUCUCAGACCUUACUAAACAUGAUAAUUCAUAGUGGAGAGAAACCUUACAAAUGUAUUGAAUAUAAUAAAAGCUUUUAUGUGGUUCUCAGCCCUUAGUAAACACAAGUGUACAUCUGUGAAGAACAUAACCAUACAUCUGUGAAGAAUGUGGAACUGCCUUUACCUGCUUCUUCACCCUUAUUAACCACAAGAGAAUUAAUAUGGAAAAGAGACCUUCUGAAUGUGGAGAAUGUGGCAAAACCUUUAAGUGCUUCUCAGACAUUACUAAUCAUUAGAUAAUUCACACUGGAGAAAAACCCUACAAAUGUGAAAAAUGUGGCACAGCAUUGAGUUUUUCUCACACCUCAUUAGAGAAAAGAGAAUUCAUACUAGAGAGUAGAUUUACAAUUGUUAAAAAUGUGGAAAGUCUUUAACAAGUUCUCAUACUGUGUUCAACAUCAGAGUCUUCAUACCGAACAAAUGCAGUAUAAAGGUAAUGACUGUUAAUUCCAUGGCAGAAGGCCCAAACCAGAGAACUGGCCAGACAGUUCUGUUGCACCUAAGCAGCAUGUGCACUUUUCCAAGCACAUCUCAUUCCCUUCCUGACUCCAAUUAUUUCAACAGCACCUUCUCAUUUGCACCAGCCCAUUUUUGAGCCCCAACAAACUAUGAUUUUGAAAUACCUCUGAAGACCGCAUGAGCUAACCACUAAGGGUGACAGUGCUCUAGCCUACUCAAUUUCACCUGAGGGCAGAAACAAGGCAGGAGAGUCUUGUCACCUGGAUUCGGUGCUUAGGAUACUUUACAAUCUUCUUUGGAUGCAUGGCCAAGUCAGAAGGGUAACAUCAUCUGGGGACAGACUCAAGUAAUAUGGCACCACGUCUAUGGUAGAAAAGGUUGAAGAAAAACAGGAGAAUCACAUCACCUAGGUGUUGGGCUUAGCAAUAUGAAAUAAUCCCCUCUUUUGGCCAACUCCAGAAUAAAGAAGUGUGUUGCAUUACCUAGGUUUUGCCCUCAGUGGUAUGUCAC